rnacentral:misc_RNA from 1 species
GGUGGAAGAGGCUUGGAAGGAAGACUAGCAGGCUUAUUCUGCUGAGCCCCAGAAGGCACCGGUUUGGUCUGAGCAGGGCCUUUCUUAGACGGCGGCGCCGUCACUGCCGCCGCCUGCUUAGCCGCAAUUAGCUGCGAGGGGUCCUCGGCGUCAUCAUCUCCCAACAAAUCAAAGGGAUUAACGGUCGCCAUUUCCAAAGAAUCUCGAAACCAAAAAGCCCAAAAAAGACCUCAAAAAAAGGAAAUUCCACUCCGAGAAAGGCGACCGGAAAACCUAUCUAAACAAGAGCUCCAUGAAUACAAUAAUAGAAAGAAUAAGAGACCUGUAGAAAGAAGAAGAGGAAAAAG